rnacentral:lncRNA from 1 species
CAACAAAAGACUGAUGUUUUGAGCCAAAACUAAAACAUUUCUCAUGCAACAAAGUUUUUAUUGUAGUAGUGGAUGAACGACUGUGAAGAGCCAUAGAAUUUUUUUUUCUAAGGAUAAGCUUCGAUGACGGAUUGAACUGCAUGUGUAGGUUUAACGUUGAAUCGUGUAAAACCAGAUUGUCGAAGAACAGAGCUCCAUUCCUUUAAGGUCCUCUCUUUCCCUUUAUUUGUAAUAGCCAUCAGCGCCGUGUCUAGCAUCAACCCUACGCCACCUAGCUCGUCGCCUUCUUUAUCUUCUUCAAGAACUGCUUCAACGAUUAUAACCUUCCCUUUAUCUUCUGGAAUGGCUUCUCGACAUUUUUUUAGGAUUUUAAUGCAUUCCUCGUCGUCCCAAUCAUGCAAUAUCCACUGCAAUUUGCAAUGUAUAGAUUAAUCGUAUAAGACCAUAUAAUGAAGGGAAAAAAAAGUACUAACCAUUAAAAAGGCUGCGUCGACGUUUGGGAUAGACAUGAACAUGUCGCCUCCUAUGUUUUGAUGCUACCGGACUUUGGUGCAACGGCAACGACAUGAGGGAGAUCAAAGUUGAUGCCUCGAAUCCAUGGGAAUGCCUUAACUAAAAGGCUCAAAGCAGUCCCAUUACCACCAUGAAACAACUUUGGACGUCACGAAUCUGAAAACCAAAAUUCGAACAAUUUUUUUCUCUGAUCUCCGACAUUGGUUGUUAGAUCGACUUAGAUCUAAGAUAUGUUCUGCUACUCGUCAAUGGGUAUUGAUCCACCAUAUCGAUCGUUGAAUCGUUACUUGGAGCUUGCUGGCAGAACUUAAAAAAAAAUUUAACAGCCUAUUGACUUAAAUAAAAACUUUUAAAUAGUUCAGUGACUUAAAUGAAAACUUUCAAAUAGUUCAGUGACCGGAUUGUAACCCUUUUUUAGUUAAGUGACCAAAAUGAAAAGCUACCCAUAGUUUAGUGACUAAUAGUAUAGCUUACCCUACUUUAAUUUGGUCAAUUUUAGUACUUUUUUUUUAAUUUUGAACUUCAGAUUGAAUUGCAAACUAUAGAAGUUAAAUUCAUUAUGUCAAAUUCUGCUAUUAGUUUUGUACUAUACGUAAGUUUCGGAUUUGGUCUCAAUUCUCCAAUUUGAUCAUUUUAAUCAUUAUACCUUUCUUAUUUUGAAAUUCUAAUCAUGGUUCAUAUUGUAGUUGACAAAACACUACACACAUGAUAAUAUGUUUGUCGUAUAGAAAUUUGGAAAUGUCAAAAUUUAACAACUGAAAUUUUAAAAUUUAAAAAGUACAAGGACUUAAAAUGAUCAAAUUAGAGUACAAAAGCUAAUUUUACAAGUUACAUAUAUUAUAGGGACUAAUAGUGGAUUUUGAUCAAAAUCAUGUUUUUAACAAAAAGGACAACUUUCUGAAUUUAAAAGGUUACAAUGUGAAGUUAGUUCUGUAUUUUGAUAAAAUUUGAGAAUUAGUCUUGUAAUUGAAAAUUUAACAAAUUAAGUCCUCCUAAUUUUAUAAUUUGAAAUUCACAAUCUAAUUAUUAACAUUGUUAGUAUUUUUUGUCAAAAUUUGUCAACUUGGCAUAUUAGACUACCCUAAUAUGACGUGGUAUAUGAUUGACAAAAAAUAUAUAUAUUAAAUUGAAAAAUUCUAACAUAGGUUACCAACAAUGAUAAUGAUUGGACUUAUAUUUCUAAAUUGGAAAAAAAAUAGUUGGAUUGAAUUUUUAACUUUUAAAGUAGAGGGACUAAAUAUCAUAUUCUGCAAAGUACAAGGACUAAUAUCAUAUUUUAACGAAUUAUUAAGUAAAUUUGGCCCAACCCAAAAGCCCAUCUGAUUACGACCCUUUCUACUUCUACCAUUGUACAUAAGGCUAUUUAACAGUGUUUCUGCUAAUAUUCCAUCACUUUCUCGGGAAAAUCAACGAUGGCAGAUUGGACCCAACUCCCCAAGGAACUACUAGAACUUAUUUCCAAACGCCUAGGAACCCACUAUGACGUCAUCCGUUUCCGUUCCGUUUGCUCCACCUGGCGCUCCGCCGUUACUGCCCCCAACCGCUGCCGCAACCGCUUCGCUCCCCGUUUCCCGCUUCUCCCUAUUUCCUCCCAAUUCUCCCUCUCAAAGCGCUCCGUAUUCCUCCUCGGAUCACCCACAACUAGUACCCAAACAAACGCUUCUAGCCCCUCCUCGUGGGUAAUCAAAAUCGAAGAAGAUCCGAUGAACGGCAGAGUCCAGCUUUUGAACCCUCUCUCAAGGUCUCGUUUCGAUUCUCUCCCUGAUAAUUUCCCCAAACCUUUAAAUUUGUUGGAUUUUAGGGUUCUUGAAUUGGGUGAAGAGUAUGUGCUUCAUUAUUUAACUCAUCACAGUGUGGGCAACUUGUACAUGGAAAAAGUUGUCCUAUCUUGUUUAGAUGAUAAUGUUAACGAUUUCAUUAUACUUACAAUUCAUGUUUCUGGGAAAUUAGCAAUGUUUAAAUCUAGUGUUAAGAAAUGGGCUAUAAUUCAAGACAUGCCAUCUCCUUUUGACGAUGUGAUAUUAUAUAAAGGGAAUUUUUAUGCUGUUGAUAAUACUGGUAGGACUGUGGUUGUGGGAUUGGAUUUCGAGACAAAUUUGAUUGCUAUGCCUGUUUUUGGUGGUGAUAAGAAGUUUUUGGUUGAUUCAAAGGGUGAGUUAUUGUUGAUUGAUAUGUAUUUGAGCAUUGAAUCUGAGCCAGGUUUGUCUUCUUCUUCUGCCGGUUUCGGGUUCGUCGAGGAGUAUUUUGAAAACCUUGCUGUGUAUAUGAACGAGAGGACGGUUAAGUUUAAGGUUUUUAAGUUGGAUGACGUUGAUAAGCAGUGGGUUGAAGCUAAGGAUUUGGACGAUCGCGUGUUGUUUUUAGGUGAUGGUUGCACCUUUUCUGCUUCAAUAGAAGAUUUAUCCGUGUGUAGAGGGAAUUGCAUAAUCUAUGUGGAUAAUUUCUUUCAUUCGCUCGGGGAAGAAGAUGGGGCGUCGGAGCAUUGUGAUGUAGGCGUAUUCGAUUUGGAAAGCGGUUCUAUAGGACCAUUAACAAAGGUUCCUCAAUCUUCCGAGCUAUUCUGGCCACCACCUCAUUGGAUUUCAUCCACAGCAGCAUCGGAUGUAAGUAUUUUUGUUUUGCAGUGUUGAACUUUGGGUCGAGUUUUUAUUUAUAUAUAGUUCUGUAUACUAUUGCAAUAGCCAUGAAGAUCUUUAAGUAUCAGAAUCCCUAAGUAGAAUCACGUAAAAAACUGGUGAAACUCCCCGGAAAGCUUUUUGAGUCGUGUUUAUGCUUAAUGGUAUAGGCAUGCUAGCUUCAAACUAUGUCUUGAAAUGCCAUGCAUCUAAUGUUAACUUACUGAAAAUGCCAAAGAGAAGUCUAAAUCGAAUGCGGAUCUCUUUCAUAUGCCGGGUUAAGGGGCGUUACAAAUGCUUUCAAAACAAUUGGGAAAAUCCCAUUGCCAAAUUUGAUGUGAAAAUGGCAAUAUCCCUUAUUUUCUUGGUAAAUUACACCAGCAGUCAUCCAACUAUUAAUAUAUUUUUUUGGUUAUUUAAUUAUGAAAAGUUAUGAAAUGAUCACACAAUAAUUAGUAAAUUUCUUUUUCGGUCACCCAACUAUGAUAAGUUACGAAAUGGUAUCCAACUAUUUAAUUUUAUCUUUUUUGUCGCCGGCUGGCUAACUUGACAACUUUUAAAAUUAGCUCAAUAGUAACUUUAACCGUUAAUAUUUAUCUAUUAUGUCAAUUUAGUUUUGAUUCUAAAAAAAAAAACUUAACGCUUAACAUUUACACAUGGUGUAAUUCGAACUUCUUCUUCUUCUUCUCUUCUUUUUUUUUUUUUAAAAUUUUGUGUUUUUUUAUAAUAUUGAGAGUUAAUUUUAAAAGAAAGAAAAAUGAUAAAAGUUAUUAUUUAGAGUUUUUGGGUGUUUUCAUUUUUUUGUUUAUUUUCAAUCAAAUUUAGCUAAUAAAUUAGACUUUUAGCUUUUUAGGUAAAAAGAUUACAAAGAACAAGAAAAUUGCAAAAAAAAAAAAUCUAAAUAUUGAGGGUUAGAUUUUUUAGAAUCAAGACUAAUUUGAAACAAUGUUAAAUGUUAAAGUUGCUAUUAUGCCAAUUUUAAAAGCUACAAAAAAAAUGAUAAAAUUUAAUAAUUAAAUAAUUAUUUUAUAACUUUAUAUAAUUGGGUAAUCAAAAUAAAAUUUAUUAAUAUUUAAGUGGAUAUUAAUUAAUUUAUUUAUUUUUCAGUUCUAUAAACAAACAAUUCGUGGAUGGAAUUUAAUCUCUCUCCACAAAAUCAGAGACGGGUUCUUUCUUUUUUUGGACAAUGGUUACCCAAAAUAGCGAAAAAUUGUCACAUAAAUGUUCUAUAUAAUUAGUGCCUCCACUAAACAGCUCAUCAUUUCAUAUUUAUCUAAAAUUGUGUUAUAGAUAUUUAUAGGGCAUCUUAGAUGGAUUAACGCUUCUUUUGAAAAGGAGUUAUGAUUUUGUAAUAAUCCAAAUUGAUAGUAUGGAAACAGUUCAAGUUAUUAAAGACGAGGCUUGUAAGGACUGGGGCUCAACUUUAAUAAGAAGAAAUCAUCAAUUUUUGCCUAGUAUUAGACAUUGGGACAUUUGUCACAUUUCAAAGGAAAAUAAUGGAGAAGCCGAUGAAAUUGCUAAACUAGUUCAAGAAAGGAGAGAAGGUCUUCAAGUGUUUGAAGUGUCCCCAUUAGAGAGUUAGUUUUAUUUUAUCGUAAUUUUUAGGUUUUGUAUUUUCACUAAAUUUCUUUUAAGAAAAUAGAAAAUAAUAAUUUUUGAAAACCCAAAGUACAAUUUGUGAUUUCAUCCAUAAUGUUUAUUAAUAUCUAUCAAAUUAUUUGUCCUAAUCAUCUGAAAUUUAGGCUUAGUUUGGAUUGGUGAUAUGUUUAACUGUAGUUAGUGUAAAAACAACGGUGGCGGUGACAUUAAAUACUAUAGCGACACUGUAGUGUGAGACAAAAAAUAAAUUAAAAUCACUGCACCUAAUUACCCAUCGAAACCCACCUUAAUUAGUUACAAUCUAAAAUGAAAUAUAUAUUAAUAUACUAAUAUAUUAUAUCGGUGUUUUGUUCAGUUUUAUUACGGUUUAAAUUCAAAUAUAUUUCAAAUUUCAAUCUAUUAUAUUUUAUAUUGAGUUAUUCUAAUUUUAAUUUUAAUUUUAUUAUUUGUAACUUAUACUAAGUUUUUUUUUUAAAAGUAACUGAUACUAUAUUUGUACUCGUAAAUUCUUUCGAAAAUAAAUUAUGAUAAAUUAUAACCGCACAAAUCAUGUUUUAAUAGAGCGCGUUACAAACUGAAAUCCUUUGAAUUUUUUUGAAAAAGUUUACAAGUAGAAUAUAGUAAAUCAAGUAGGACUACUAAAGUUAAAUUGAAUCAAUAUAAAUUAAAAUUAAAAUUCACACAGCUUUAGUAUACAGGACUCAAAAUCUCGACUUUUUACCAACAAUGCCAAACCUCUUAUCUGACAUGUAUUUUAAUUAUUUUUCACAAUCAAUCUAAAACUAUUCCAGAGGCAGAAUUAAAAGGAUUAAUUGAUAUAUGGAUUCCAACAGUGAUUUUAAAGAAAGCCACUCAAAACCAAGAUUUAUUGAUUCCAACAAAAGACUGAUGUUUUUAGCCAAAACUAAAACAUUUCUCAUGCAACAGAGUUUUUAUUGUAGUAGUGGAUGAACAACUGUGAAGAGCCACAGAAUUUUUUUUUUCUAAGGAUAAGCUUCGAUGACGGAUCGAACUGCACGUAUAGGUUUAACGUUGAAUCGUGUAAAACCAGAUUGUCGAAGAACAUAACUCCAUUCCUUUAAGGUCCUCUCUUUCCCUUUAUUUGUAAUAGCCAUCAGCGCCGUGUCUAGCAUCAACCCUACGGCACCUAUCUCGUCGUCUUCUUUAUCUUCUUCAAGAACUGCUUCAACGAUUACAACCUUCCCUUUAUCUUCUGGAAUGG